rnacentral:rRNA from 1 species
GACGAACGCUGGCGGCGUGCUUAACACAUGCAAGUCGAGCGAUGAAGCUCCUUCGGGAGUGGAUUAGCGGCGGACAGGUGAGUAACACGUGGGUAACCUGCCUCAUAGAGGGGAAUAGCCUUUCGAAAGGAAGAUUAAUACCGCAUAAGAUUGUAGCUUCGCAUGAAGCAGCAAUUAAAGGAGUAAUCCGCUAUGAGAUGGACCCGCGUCGCAUUAGCUAGUUGGUGAGGUAACGGCUCACCAAGGCGACGAUGCGUAGCCGACCUGAGAGGGUGAUCGGCCACAUUGGGACUGAGACACGGCCCAGACUCCUACGGGAGGCAGCAGUGGGGAAUAUUGCACAAUGGGGGAAACCCUGAUGCAGCAACGCCGCGUGAGUGAUGACGGUCUUCGGAUUGUAAAGCUCUGUCUUCAGGGACGAUAAUGACGGUACCUGAGGAGGAAGCCACGGCUAACUACGUGCCAGCCGCCGCGGUAA